CCCCCCCCCCCCCCCCCGUGUUCCCCCGCAGGCAUCACCCGGCUGCAGCGCUGGGAGCGGGCGCAAGCACUGGGGCUGAGCCCCCCGUUCCCAGUCCGCGACGCCCUCCUGGAGCACUGCGAUGACCCCGCAGUCACCUACAGCCUCUGGCAUGAGUACGGGCUCUGAGCCAGCGGAGGGACGUGGAGUAAAGGCUGCCGUGGAUGAGGUGGCUGCAGCGUGGCGUGUGCGCUGGGGGAAGUGAGCCGAGGGGCUGCGCGGGCACAGAGCUCUGAUGCCAGCACCGGGGUCCUGUGGCAUGACACCCGGUGGCAUCGUGCCGCAGGACCCCGGUGCUGGCCAGCCUCCCCUGCCCUGCGUGGGGAUGAUGGCAGUGGCGAUGCGAGGCGCCUGGUGGCAAGGAUGAGAGAGCUCAAGGGGGAACUGGGGCGGGAGGUAGAGGGGGGCUGGCGGGGGGCUUGCAGGUGAGAAGAGGAACAGUGGGGGGAGAGGGACAGCUAAGGGGGAGAAGGGACGCAGGCAGAGGUGUCCCUUCCUAGGUGACCAUACCGCUCAUCCCCCGUAGAGCUGAGGUGAGCGGGGUAGUGGCAAUGCCAGAAACAUUUGGACGGGGCCAUUUGGAUGGCCCACGGGAGCCUGCAUCGCAUCUGCCUCCCAGAGGCACUGGGGGGGUCAGUCCUGUGGGAUUCAGUUGAUUAUCAGUAGCUUUGCUAUUUAAUAGCGUGUAAGCACAAAUUAAUAAAAGAGUGAGUUUGUUAAUUA